UUAGGAUCUAGACCUGGCAUAUCUUCAUACGACCAUGCAAAAAUAUCCAGAUAUUCCCGGAGGAGCUGGAUGAUCUUCUUUUUAACCCCUUCCUCUAGAGCAGCACCGAUCUUGAUUUCUCGCUUGUUCUCCUCGGUACCUAUGUUGAUAAGCUCAAUCUCUUCCUGG
rnacentral:pre_miRNA from 1 species